UAUUCUGAAAACCCUCCCGUUCCUGCCAGCGGAGCAGAGGAAGAAGAAACUGUUAGCAUUAGCGUGGUCAGUUAGCAGCUCUCUGCAGAGGAACCCGCGGAUUAAAGUCCACGCGUCACUGCUGCCGUGUGAUGCAGUCAUGUCUGUACAGGUGGUGCUGCAGCAGAGGAUUAGCUCUGCUCAGGCCCUGCUGCAGAGGGCAGAGCAGCUUUUUCCGGGUGUGGAGGGUCACCAGAAGCUCUGCAGCAAACUGCGAGCCGAGCUGCGCUUCCUGCGGCGGGUGGAGGCCGGAGAGCUGCAGGUCAAAGAGUCUCACCUGCACAGCACCAACCUGACUCACCUGACGGCCAUUGUGGAGUCAGCCGGCAGUCUGGAGGACGUGGUGGCUCUGCUGCAUGUCUUCACCUACCAGGACACCUCCGGCCACCGCCGGACACUGGUGGUGGACGUGGUGGCUAACGGAGGACACACUUGGGUGAAGGCGGUGGGUAGGAAGGCGGAGGCUCUGCACAACAUCUGGCAGGGGCGGGGUCAGUAUGGAGACAAGAGCAUCAUCAGGCAGGCGGAGGACUUUCUGCAAGCCAGCCACCAACAGCCUGUCCAUUACCGGCACCCCCACGUCGUCUUCGCCUUCUACAACGGGGUCUCCUCGCCCAUGGCCGACCGCCUCAGGGACAUGGGCGUCUCUGUCCGCGGGGAUAUCGUUGCUGUCAAUGCUGUGGUGAUGGAGGAAGGCAGUGAUGAAGAAGACGAGGAGAGGGAAGAGGGGGAGGAGAGGGAGGUGGCUGAGGAUAACUAUGACCAGGAGGAGCAGCAGGAGGAGGAGGAGGAGGCAUCUGAACUGACCCGGGUGGACCGCAGCACGGUGGUGGCUAGCCUGGCGUUUCCCUCCCAGGUGCAGGUGGAGGAGUGUCAGCGCGUGAACCUGGACAUCACCACGCUCAUCACAUACGUAUCAUCACUGAGUCACGGCCGCUGUCAUUUCACCUUCAGGGAGCCCGUGCUGACCGAGCAGGCGGCCCAGGAGCGCCGCCUGCAGGUGCUGCCGCAGCUCGAUGCUUUCAUGGCGGGGAAGGAGCUGUUCGCCUGCCGUGCCGCUGUCACUGACUUCCAGCUGAUCCUAGACACGCUUGGGGGGCCGGGCGAGAAGGAGCGCGCUCAGAAGCUGCUGGCCCGUCUUCACCUGGUGGACGACCAGCCGUCAGAGCGAACGCUGCGCCUCACGCCCAGUGCAAAGGUUAAUCAACGCUCGCUCACGAUCUUCGGCACCGGAGACUCGCUCAGAGCCGUUACCAUGACGGCAAACAGCCGAUUUGUCAGAGCGGCUGCCAAUCAAGGGGUCCGAUACAGUGUGUUCAUCCACCAACCACGAGCUCUGACCGAAGGCAAGGAGUGGAGGGCCACGCCCAUCUGAGACAGAGAGAGGCUUCCAGUGCAGGGGCUGAUGGGAGCUUGAGUCUGUCAGCUGAAACAGGCGUAACUACGAAGUUCUGAGUUAAAUUUUCACUGAUGAGGUCACAUGGUCUCAGGUCAGCAGGUAGAAGGCAGCUGUGUCCUAACACUACGCUCACAUCACAUGAAAACCGGAAUGAUGAGCAGCUGAGCUUCUGUGUCCAACCUGAUGAAGAGUAGAAAUA